GAUGAACGCUGGCGGCGUGCCUAAUACAUGCAAGUCGAGCGAACAGACGAGGAGCUUGCUCCUCUGACGUUAGCGGCGGACGGGUGAGUAACACGUGGAUAACCUACCUAUAAGACUGGGAUAACUUCGGGAAACCGGAGCUAAUACCGGAUAAUAUAUUGAACCGCAUGGUUCAAUAGUGAAAGACGGUUUUGCUGUCACUUAUAGAUGGAUCCGCGCCGCAUUAGCUAGUUGGUAAGGUAACGGCUUACCAAGGCAACGAUGCGUAGCCGACCUGAGAGGGUGGUCGGCCGCACUGGAACGGAGACACGGUCCAGACUACUACGGGAGGCAGCAGUAGGGAAUCUUCCGCAAUAGGCGAAAGCCUGACGGAGCGACGCCGCGUGAGUGAUGAAGGUCUUCGGAUCGUAAAACUCUGUUAUUAGGGAAGAACAAAUGUGUAAGUAACUAUGCACGUCUUGACGGUACCUAAUCAGAAAGCCACGGCUAACUACGUG
rnacentral:rRNA from 1 species